rnacentral:rRNA from 2 species
AGAUGGGAGCUUGCUCCCUGAUGUUAGCGGCGGACGGGUGAGUAACACGUGGGUAACCUGCCUGUAAGACUGGGAUAACUCCGGGAAACCGGGGCUAAUACCGGAUGCUUGUUUGAACCGCAGGGUUCAAACAUAAAAGGUGGCUUCGGCUACCACUUACAGAUGGACCCGCGGCGCACUAGCUAGUUGGUGAGGUAAUGGCUCACCAAGGCAACGAUGCGUAGCCGACCUGAGAGGGUGAUCGGCCACACUGGGACUGAGACACGGCCCACACUCCUACGGGAGGCAGCAGUAGGGAAUCUUCCGCAAUGGACGAAAGUCUGACGGAGCAACGCCGCGUGAGUGAUGAAGGUUUUCGGAUCGUAAAGCUCUGUUGUUAGGGAAGAACAAGUGCCGUUCAAAUAGGGCGGCACCUUGACGGUACCUAACCAGAAAGCCACGGCUAACUACGUGCCAGCAGCCGCGGUAAUACGUAGGUGGCAAGCGUUGUCCGGAAUUAUUGGGCGUAAAGGGCUCGCAGGCGGUUUCUUAAGUCUGAUGUGAAAGCCCCCGGCUCAACCGGGGAGGGUCAUUGGAAACUGGGGAACUUGAGUGCAGAAGAGGAGAGUGGAAUUCCACGUGUAGCGGUGAAAUGCGUAGAGAUGUGGAGGAACACCAGUGGCGAAGGCGACUCUCUGGUCUGUAACUGACGCUGAGGAGCGAAAGCGUGGGGAGCGAACAGGAUUAGAUACCCUGGUAGUCCACGCCGUAAACGAUGAGUGCUAAGUGUUAGGGGGUUUCCGCCCCUUAGUGCUGCAGCUAACGCAUUAAGCACUCCGCCUGGGGAGUACGGUCGCAAGACUGAAACUCAAAGGAAUUGACGGGGGGCCCGCACAAGCGGUGGAGCAUGUGGUUUAAUUCGAAGCAACGCGAAAAACCUUACCCGGUCUUGACAUCCUCUGACCCCCCUAGAGAUAGGGCUUCCCC